rnacentral:tRNA from 1 species
UCCCAUAGUUAAAUUUUGUAACGGUGGUUUUUCAGGCCACUGAUCCUGGAGAGAGGCCAGGUGGGAA